rnacentral:tRNA from 1 species
GCCCGGGUGGCGGAACUGGCAGACGCAGCGGACUCAAAAUCCGCCGGGCUUCGGCCCUUACGAGUUCGACUCUCGUCCUGGGCA